UGGUUCACCUGUGUUUGAGAUGGACUAGGUUCUGCACUUGUGUAUAUGUUCGAGGACCUCGGCCUUUCAGAACUGAACUCAUUCAUAUCUACUUUUCACAAUACAGAGAACCAAUAUGAUUGCAGAAAGCGAUGCAUAGGAGGAUGAUAUCAGAUAUCACAAUGUGAACAAACACAGAUUGAUGAAAA